CUGAGCUCCUCCAUGGCCUGCUGCGGUUCCAGGGAGAACAGAAGGAAGGGAGGGGAGGAAGGGCACGGCCAGCAGGCUCUCACCUCUCUUACCUCCAUGCCGCCGUCGACACGACCCCCGAGCCUAGACCACGACCCAUGCGACGGGACCCCGCUGAUGCCGGCGGCGGUGCCGGGUUCCAUGAUCUAUUCGACUUCAUGUGUCGAAUCAUCAAGUCCGCACCAGCACUCCACCGGGCCCCUCAGUGGGAUCGGCGUCCGUAUCAGCUCCUGCCUCUGCAAGUCAAGGGGUAGGCUGCUCGAUCGCAUCUCCAAGAGUCCCUCGCCGCCACAACGCCUGCAGUCGCGGACGGCCGUACCUGUCGACGGGAGCGGCUGAGCAGGGGACAUCCCGCCGAUCCGAUGGCGGAAGGGCGAGAUAAUGGGCAAGUCUACCUCGGGUUGAAUCUGGACACCAGCGAGCUCCUUGCAGUAAACCAGUUGGGCGCUCCUUCGAAACAAGAUUAUCGUGUCCAGGUAUACAGUCCGCCACAAAACUCUCCCGUGCAGUGGGCGUACAGAAGGUACCUUCCUCUCCUGAUUUUGUAUAUGGCAGUGUAGUACUAUGUGGUUAACUGAAAACGAAGAGUAAGCAAAUUAGUUCCUGUCAGAACAACUGUAGCCGGCAUCGCCGCCGUCGCUUAUGGAGCUCCACACCAUUCCCCAAUUGUACGAGAGCAUGUUCAAUCUUCGCCAUUCUAUACUAUGUGCAAAUGGUCAACUCUUUUCCAAACAAGAAGAUAUGAGGAUUAGGCAUAUAUGCCCCAUAAGGUAGCUAUAUUCAUGUGUUGUAGUGUGGAUUAUGGUCACGCUCUGUCUUGGACUGCAGAUAGCUAGGUUAACAAAAAUGGAUACUCUGCAUAUUUUCUGAAUUUUUAGUAAGGUCUACAUGAAUAAGGUUAGCAGUAGUUCUGACUUGGGGCACUGGUUAAUUCUUCACAUGCAGGAACGUGGAGAGAUGGUGGGCUCCAAGCCCAUGGUGAUUUUAUUGUGCUUGCAGCUUGAGAUGUACUUGGUCCAAAUGAAAAUCAUCAUUUUGAAGGGCAACUUCGCAUGGAAUUAGGAUCACUUAAUAAGGUUCUGGUUUCUUUUUCAAAUUCACUUGCUUUAUGCAUGAACCUAUUAUAGAUUUGUUGGUGUUGAUUUGCAGUAAGAGCAAAUGUAAUAUUGUUCUCAUCAAUUUCUUUCAUAGCAUGUGUAAUGCGUUAUAACAUCAGUUUCAUUGGAUUGGAAAAGGUGAUAAACAUGCAACCAUUCUUACUCGAUGAUAUGAAUACUUCAGGAGCAAUGGUGGCAUUUGUUUGCACAUUAGUAUUCCAUUAUGUAGUAAAGGAUAUGGUCUGGUAGUCAUUCUUUAUCGUUAUAGUUAUUGUCAAAUGGUGGAAUAUUGCUGCCUAGCAGCUCUGGUUCAUGCGUGUGUGAAAAACAAUGUAAAAUCAUUUUUGUUGCUGUAGAAUCUCAUGAGUCGUAUGAAAAAGAAGGCUAGGAUAUUUAUAUUUUUUAAUUGUUCAGCUGCUUGUGUUACAGAUCUGGGCAUACCUUUUGUUUGAGAUAAAUUUGGGCA